AUAUAUUUAAUAUAUAUAUAUAUAUGUAUGUGUUUAGUAUAUGAAUUCUCAAUAUUCAAGUAUUAUACAUUUCUUACUAGCUGUUGAUGUGAUUCGUUAGACGCAAGGAUAUGAUUAGAACUGAAAUGAAUGAAGUGCUCACAUCUAAAAAUGCAUUGCAGUCAAUGUUUCUUUUGUUUUUUUUUCCUUUCUUGUUUUUGUUUAUUAUUAUUAUUAUUACUAUUAUUAUAGUGUGUUCUAUUCCUGUAGUACCAUGUCUAGCCAUAGUAGCCCCUGUACUCCUAUUAAGUUGGGGUCUAGUUUGGGUAUCUUUGAAAGCUUUUCCAGGCACUUGUGGCUAACGAGCGCAAAGCUUAAUUUGGCCAAUUACAGUUACUGUUAACUGUGUUAACACAGUUAACAGUAACAGCUCUGCUUUGCUGUUAAGACUAUGAACAAAACACGGCAUUGUUCUCAAUAGGCGACAGCAAAUACAUUUACAAUAGACUUUGUGUGUGGGAGUAUGUGUAUGUAUGUAUGUGUGUGGGUGUGUGUGUGUGUAAAACAUGUUUUAGCUACUAUCAGUACCGUAUUAAGCACAAACAUAAAUUACAAUUCCGAUUCCGAGUUUGCUAUGCAUGACAUAUAAUUAUUAUUAUAAUUUUUGUAUAGCUU